CAGUGAUGGAAGCACGGCUACCGCCGGA
rnacentral:sRNA from 1 species